rnacentral:sRNA from 1 species
AUUUUGAUUUUUAGUUACGUAGACAUUUAUGAGCGAACUAAGAUGGUAUCACAUUACAGUCUGUUUAGAUCACAUCUUUGGACACAAUUGCAGCUUGAGCUGCAAGGACUGAAUGAAUGGAGGACAGUGCCAGGAAGGAGUGAAUGCUCCUGCCCAGCAGGUUGGGGUGUCAUUCCUUGUAAUGAAAACUGUCCCAAGGGUGCCUACGGAGCUGGCUGCACUUCAGAAUGUCAGUGUGUGGAGGAGAAUACCCUGGAAUGCAGUGCCAAAAAUGGUAGUUGCACCUGCAAAUCUGGUUACCAAGGCAACAGAUGCCAGAAAGAUGGCCUCUGGGGACCAGAGGGCUGGUUCUCCUCUGCACCCUGUGAAAAUGGAGGUCAGUGCAACAAAAAAACUGGAAAUUGUGACUGCACUCCUGAUUACACAAGAAAAUCCUGUACCAUAUUGAGAUGCAUUUCCCUUACCAAUCUGGCUCUCAGCAGGCAGUCCAGCCUGAUGAAGUACCAGCAAAAUGUCAGCUCCCACAGAGAAGUGCCACAGAGGCGACAGUGCAGCAGUGACAGGCCUUUCAAAAAGCUAUUGUGCAAAUUCAGUUUUAAAAUAGGGAUGUGGUUGAGGACAGAUGGGUAUUUCAUUACCAAUGCGUUCAUCUCCCCCAUCGUCCAAGAGAAUGAGAGGGGGUCAUGGUGCAGCUGAUAUAAAGCCAUUAAGUUGAGUAGCGGUUGAUUUGGUCUUUAGAAGAUUUGUCUUCCUAUCUGUAUUUUCGAAAAGUUAAUAUUCAAAUUAGCUGUCAUUUUUAGUACAUACCUGCUAAAGGGGGGCCAAGAAUUGUUCUUUUUUCUAAUGGAUCACCUUCCAGUGUCUCAAAUAGAUCAUUAAAAACAAAGUUAAUCAUGUCAUUACUUUAUAAACCUCACUGAGCUACUGAUACUGUUCAUAAUGAAGUCUGUAGCACUAAAGACCCAUCAUCAACCUGUCUCUAGCCAGCUU